rnacentral:lncRNA from 1 species
AACCCGUGAGUGCUUCCAGUGUGUAGGACCUUGCACUAGCCAUUUACAUCCCCCAUCUCACCUUCACGACAGCUGGCAGAAAACUGCUUCUCUUCCCCAGCACUUGUCCUCCACUUCUAUCCUCAGGCGUGAGCUGAAACCUCACUUUCUCUCAGAGGAGCCUGCUAACCCCUGCCCCCGGGUCCUGGACCUCCCGUUGGUACGUCUAGAAAGCCUAGUUGUCUCUCUGACACUUGUUGCAUGUUACUGUGAUUAGUUUAUCUAAUUGUUUACCUUCACCAAUGGACCGUAACUUCCUCAGGCAGCUUACUCUUCUUUACUUCCCUCGCAGAGAGAAGGGACUGAAUUAAUUUUGGUCAAAUGAAUAAAUGAUGAAUGAGUGUUCCUGGCAUGCGUAGCUUGAACACAGAGUCAACAUCACAGCCUGGAGUUAUGCAGUGCUCCAAGCUGCCACCCGCUUUAGGGAGAAUGUCUCUAAGGACCAUUAACCGUGAAAUCUCAAGAACUUCCCCUCGCAAAACCCUGGAUGACUAUAUAUUAUAUUCCUCUGUAUUUGAACCAUUCUUCCACUGGUAAGAUACAGGGAGAGAGGAAACAAGGGAGGAAUUUUAUGACUUAACUGUCUGGUGUUGAGACCGAGUCCCUGAGGGCUGGUCCUGGGCAUGGUCGCUGAAGAGGGUCCCUCAGAUAACGUCACCCAGCAGGUGAACCCCAAGAGGACAUUUAAACUGGCUUUCCAAACUUGGGGCCAAGAUCAGUGGGGUCUGGGAUCACACUGUCGAUCUCUCACUGUAUUGCCUCUUGUGGGGUUUUAAUGAGUGACCUUGGCCUCUCCUGGUCAGAGAUUUCUCCUCCUUCAUCAUCUGUACGUAGUGGUAGAAAUGGCAGCAGUGCCAGCAAAGCCCUGGGCUCCCCAAAUGAGCCACAGAAACACCUUUGGGAUUCUCUCAGAGCACUGGGAAGACUUCCAACCGUCUGUUUUUACAGCUGAAGAAACUGAGGCUCAAAGAGUGAUAGAACUUGCUCACGAUGACACAGCUGGCCCUGAGGACACAGAGAAGGAUAGUAAGCCGUCCCCUGUAGAAGGAGUGUGUGCAUCAGCGGAGACAGUGAGUGGGGCGUGGAAGGAGCGCCGGCCAUUCUAUCUCUGGAAACCCGAGGCUGACAACUGGUCUGAGGACCGACCUUCUCCAAGCUUCUGCGUGGAUGCUGGGACUCAUGUAGACCACACUCUUCUCCAUUCUGGAGUGUACCCUUCCCAAGCCUUUCUGGGCGGCGUUUUUCUGCCCCAUUUGUCAGUCUUCACUUGA